rnacentral:rRNA from 1 species
GAAGUAAAAGUCGUAACAAGGUCUCCGUUGGUGAACCAGCGGAGGGAUCAUUACCGAGUUUACAACUCCCAAACCCCUGUGAACAUACCAUUUGUUGCCUCGGCGGUGCCUGCUUCGGCAGCCCGCCAGAGGACCCAAACCCUUGAUUUUAUACAGUAUCUUCUGAGUAAAUGAUUAAAUAAAUCAAAACUUUCAACAACGGAUCUCUUGGUUCUGGCAUCGAUGAAGAACGCAGCGAAAUGCGAUAAGUAAUGUGAAUUGCAGAAUUCAGUGAAUCAUCGAAUCUUUGAACGCACAUUGCGCCCGCCAGUAUUCUGGCGGGCAUGCCUGUUCGAGCGUCAUUUCAACCCUCAAGCCCCCGGGCUUGGUGUUGGAGAUCGGCGUGCCCCCCGGGGCGCGCCGGCUCCCAAAUAUAGUGGCGGUCUCGCUGUAGCUUCCUCUGCGUAGUAGCACACCUCGCACUGGAAAACAGCGUGGCCACGCCGUUAAACCCCCCACUUCUGAAAGGUUGACCUCGGAUCAGGUAGGAAUACCCGCUGAACUUAAGCAUAUCAAUA